rnacentral:rRNA from 1 species
UACGGAGGGGGCUAGCGUUGUUCGGAAUUACUGGGCGUAAAGCGCACGUAGGCGGUUAUUCAAGUCAGGGGUGAAAGCCCAGUGCUCAACACUGGAACUGCCCUUGAAACUAGAUAACUUGAAUCCAGGAGAGGUGAGUGGAAUUCCGAGUGUAGAGGUGAAAUUCGUAGAUAUUCGGAAGAACACCAGUGGCGAAGGCGGCUCACUGGACUGGUAUUGACGCUGAGGUGCGAAAGCGUGGGGAGCAAACAGG